AGUCCAGAUCCCCAGGUUCUGUUACCACGAGCGCCUCUCAGUGGCAGGAAACUGCCGUAUGUGUUUGGUGGAGAUCGAGAAAGCUCCAAAGCCGGUAGCAGCCUGUGCCAUCCCCGUCAUGAAGGGUUGGAACAUCCUCACCAACUCAGAGAAGACACGCAAAGCCAGAGAAGGGGUGAUGGAGUUCCUGCUAGCCAACCACCCACUGGACUGCCCCAUCUGUGAUCAGGGAGGAGAGUGUGAUC